AAAGUAUAUUCACUAAAGUUGUGGUCUGGGCCUACUUGAAGGAGUUUAACAGGGACCACUGACCUGCAGCUCCGUUGAGGCGAGCCCGGCCAUCGUGUCAUCGUCCAGGUCAAUCGUCCAACCUCAAUCAUGCGCUUUGUUUCCUGGUCACUGGGCAGCGAGUACUCUGGGAUCAUGGCUCCCUCCUCAUUACAUCAAACAAUAGCAAGGUUGCCAAGGAAUAAAGAAACCGCCAAAAUGGUUAAUUUUUGCGAUGUAAAAAAUUGUGGAAGUCGGGGUAAG